CUGGGAUUACUCGAGAUGCAGGUUAUGCUGGAUCCACAUCGCUUCACUUACCGUCGACGUGUAACUAAAAGGUGGCUAGGGGCUUCCAGACACGUUGGAGACAGAUAUGACCACCUUGUUGGAUGCUAAAUCAUGGCUAUAGCUUCAUCUGUACAUUGGAUCCCGAGGCCUGCCGCCGAAGAUGACGGUUGUUGGACCCCCUGGCCAGAUAGCACAGAGCCAUGGCAGCAAUCCAACUCCACUGGUCAGAGAACACAGCAGCUUCCUGCUGCACCUGAUAUCAACCAUGCGCCGAGCAGCUUCGUGUGCUCUUUAAUUAGAUACACAUCCAAUUUAUUUGUGACAGCCGCAAAGAAAUGUAGUGU
rnacentral:lncRNA from 1 species